rnacentral:tRNA from 1 species
AACGUCGUUGACCGGUCGGCUCGGGCCACCGAGAACACCACCCUCUCAAGGUGGCGGCACGGGUUCGAAUCCCGUUGGGG